AUUGAACGCUGGCGGCAGGCCUAACACAUGCAAGUCGAGCGGAUGAAGGGAGCUUGCUCCUGGAUUCAGCUGCGGACGGGUGAGUAAUGCCUAGGAAUCUGCCUUGUCGUGGGGGAUAACGUCCGGAAACGGGCGCUAAUCUCGCAUACGUCCUGAGUGAGAACGUGGGGGAUCUUCGGACCUCGCGCUAUCAGCUGAGCCUAGGUCGGAUUAGCUAGUUGGUGAGGUAAAGGCCUACCAAGGCGACGAUCCGUAACUGGUCUGAGAGGAUGAUCAGUCACACUGGAACUGAGACACGGUCCAGACUCCUACGGGAGGCAGCAGCGGGGAAUAUUGGACAAUGGGCGAAAGCCUGAUCGAGCCAUGCCGCGUGUGUGAAGAAGGUCUUCGGAUUGUAAAGCACUUUAAGUUGGGAGGAAGGGCAGUAAGUUAAUACCUUGCUGUUUUGACGGUACCAACAGAAUAAGCACCGGCUAACUUCGUG
rnacentral:rRNA from 1 species